UGCUCAGGACGAACGCUGGCGGCGUGCCUAAUACAUGCAAGUGGGACGCAAGGGGACACACUGUGCUUGCACACCGUGUUUUCUUGAGUCGCGAACGGGUGAGUAACGCGUAGGUAACCUGCCUAUUAGCGGGGGAUAACUAUUGGAAACGAUAGCUAAUACCGCAUAAUAUUAAUUAUUGCAUGAUAAUUGAUUGAAAGAUGCAAGCGCAUCACUAGUAGAUGGACCUGCGUUGUAUUAGCUAGUUGGUAAGGUAAGAGCUUACCAAGGCGACGAUACAUAGCCGACCUGAGAGGGUGAUCGGCCACACUGGGACUGAGACACGGCCCAGACUCCUACGGGAGGCAGCAGUAGGGAAUCUUCGGCAAUGGACGAAAGUCUGACCGAGCAACGCCGCGUGAGUGAAGAAGGUUUUCGGAUCGUAAAGCUCUGUUGUAAGUCAAGAACGUGUGUGAGAGUGGAAAGUUCACACAGUGACGGUAGCUUACCAGAAAGGGACGGCUAACUACGUGCCAGCAGCCGCGGUAAUACGUAGGUCCCGAGCGUUGUCCGGAUUUAUUGGGCGUAAAGGGAGCGCAGGCGGUCAGGAAAGUCUGGAGUAAAAGGCUAUGGCUCAACCAUAGUGUGCUCUGGAAACUGUCUGACUUGAGUGCAGAAGGGGAGAGUGGAAUUCCAUGUGUAGCGGUGAAAUGCGUAGAUAUAUGGAGGAACACCAGUGGCGAAAGCGGCUCUCUGGUCUGUCACUGACGCUGAGGCUCGAAAGCGUGGGUAGCGAACAGGAUUAGAUACCCUGGUAGUCCACGCCGUAAACGAUGAGUGCUAGGUGUUAGGCCCUUUCCGGGGCUUAGUGCCGGAGCUAACGCAAUAAGCACUCCGCCUGGGGAGUACGACCGCAAGGUUGAAACUCAAAGGAAUUGACGGGGGCCCGCACAAGCGGUGGAGCAUGUGGUUUAAUUCGAAGCAACGCGAAGAACCUUACCAGGUCUUGACAUCCCGAUGCUAUUCUUAGAGAUAGGAAGUUACUUCGGUACAUCGGAGACAGGUGGUGCAUGGUUGUCGUCAGCUCGUGUCGUGAGAUGUUGGGUUAAGUCCCGCAACGAGCGCAACCCUUAUUGUUAGUUGCCAUCAUUAAGUUGGGCACUCUAGCGAGACUGCCGGUAAUAAACCGGAGGAAGGUGGGGAUGACGUCAAAUCAUCAUGCCCCUUAUGACCUGGGCUACACACGUGCUACAAUGGUCGGUACAACGAGUUGCGAGCCGGUGACGGCAAGCUAAUCUCUGAAAGCCGAUCUCAGUUCGGAUUGGAGGCUGCAACUCGCCUCCAUGAAGUCGGAAUCGCUAGUAAUCGCGGAUCAGCACGCCGCGGUGAAUACGUUCCCGGGCCUUGUACACACCGCCCGUCACACCACGAGAGUUUGUAACACCCGAAGUCGGUGAGGUAACCUUUUAGGGGCCAGCCGCCUAAGGUGGGAUGGAUGAUUGGGGGUGAAGUCGUAACAAGGGUAACCGUAGAGUUUGAUCCUGGCUCAGGAAGUCGUAACAAGGUAUCCGUCGAGUAUUAUCCUGGCUCGGGAAGGUGGUUUCCCGGGGUCGG
rnacentral:rRNA from 1 species